AACCAACGCCUAAUCGGCUUUGGACCCUUUACGACUUUGAAAGGUCGCCCUUCGGGGCGGCCUUUCUUUUUGCGCGCU
rnacentral:misc_RNA from 1 species